AUUGAACGCUGGCGGCAUGCCUUACACAUGCAAGUCGAACGGUAACAGGUCUUCGGAUGCUGACGAGUGGCGAACGGGUGAGUAAUACAUCGGAACGUGCCCGAUCGUGGGGGAUAACGGAGCGAAAGCUUUGCUAAUACCGCAUACGAUCUACGGGUGAAAGCAGGGGACCGCAAGGCCUUGCGCGGACGGAGCGGCCGAUGGCAGAUUAGGUAGUGGGUGGGAUAAAAGCUUACCAAGCCGACGAUCUGUAGCUGGUCUGAGAGGACGACCAGCCACACUGGGACUGAGACACGGCCCAGACUCCUACGGGAGGCAGCAGUGGGGAAUUUUGGACAAUGGGCGAAAGCCUGAUCCAGCCAUGCCGCGUGCAGGAUGAAGGCCUUCGGGUUGUAAACUGCUUUUGUACGGAACGAAAAGACUCUUUCUAAUAAAGAGGGUCCAUGACGGUACCGUAAGAAUAAGCACCGGCUAACUACGUG
rnacentral:rRNA from 1 species